rnacentral:lncRNA from 1 species
AAAUGAAUAUAGUUAUAUAAUUGAGACAUAGAAAAUUUUUAUUAGCCCCCAAAAUUCCCUCAGCAUAGGGAGAAAUUUAAAAGAUUGGUAGGGUGUUAAGGAUUUUUUCCUUUAUUCUCAUUUCUUGAUAAGGUUUAUGUAAUACAAGAGACUGCUGCUGCUGCUGCUGCUGCUGCUGCUAAGUCACUUCAGUCAUGUCCGACUCUGUGCGACCCCAUAGACGGCAGCCCACCAGGCUCCCCCAUCCCUGGGAUUCUCCAGGCAAGAACACUGGAUCAUUCCAGUGUGGAAGCUGGGUUGCUGAUAAGAACAAAUAGUGGCAUGAUUUCUCCCCUACAGCAGCUUCCACUGCCUUGCCUCUGAAAAGAAUAGGCCUCUGGGAGAGUAUUUCCGGUGAGUAACAUUCGUCUGGUAGAGAUUUACAGGAACAUCUUUACCUGAUCAUGACCUGCCCUCUAGAACAAAGGAUUUGACAUCAAGAAGUCUGCAGCAACUAACCACACCCCUCCCUUAACCUUUCCUAUAAAAGGGCUUUGCUGAGAACUUUUGGGGAGCUUGGGGUUUUUAAGGCAUGGGCCACCCAUCUCCUUGCUUGGCUGUGCAAUAAACCUUUCUCUGUUCCAG